rnacentral:hammerhead_ribozyme from 1 species
AUCCAGCUGAGGAGUCCCAAAUAGGACGAAACGCGCAUCCUGGAU